rnacentral:misc_RNA from 1 species
UUUCCGUAGGUGAACCUGCGGAAGGAUCAUUAUUGUGUAACCGAGGUGCGAGGGCUGUCGCUGACCCGAAAGGUCGUGCACGCCCGAGUGCCCUCACACACAUCCAUCUCACCCCUAUGUGCACCACCGCGUGGGUCCCCCUUUGGCUUGUUCGGAGGGGGGCUUACGUUUUCACACAAACUUUGUAUGCAGUGUAGAAUGUAUUUUUUGUUUUUGCGAUCACGCAAUCAAUACAACUUUCAACAACGGAUCUCUUGGCUCUC